CAACUUCCUCAUUUCCUCUAGUUCACUGCACUGUCCUCCAGCCGUAGAUGGAGCGACUCUUGUUUCAUCUUCUGACUCCUCUACUGAAUCUGCCGCUAAGCUCAGUGGCUGUGCUGUUUCUCCUCUCAAAACUGCUCACUCCUUUCUAGUCUACCAAGUUAACUUUAUAUUGGCAAGUGCAGAUUCGCUAAAAACAGCAUGGGAGGUACCUAUGAAGAACUCAUACUCGUGAGGGAGAGGAAGACUGACGACUGUCCUAAUGCACUUUGUCACCCGGAGUUCAAAACACAAGGACUGGUCGUGGAUCUGUCUUUGCUGCAAUGACCUGGGGCUACAUUUCUGGAAGUGUUCUCAACCUAGAACUUCUGUGAAGACAACCAUGAGACAGACAUUAUUUCAGGACAUGAAGAAUCCCAGAACGUAAUAAAGGGUCUGUUUCAGGAGGAAGCCACGAGCUUUUUUAUUCACAAAAAGAGAGAGGAGGCAGAAGUGACUUCAGAGUGCACAUGGAGAGGACAGAGACAAGGACCCAGGACGUACAACUGGACGACAGUCAGCUGACAAAGAUGUCCUUGGACUAUGAUCCUCUGGAUCAGUUGUGAAAAGCCUUUGAUAACACUCUCCAAAUCUCUACAUUUCAGCGUUAUCUGCUUCCAGGACAGGAGACAUUCAGAACAAUGAAGUUUGUACACAUUACUUCAGUUCUCUGAAGAGGACCUUGCUCCUGGAACACCAAUCUGUAGUUCUCUUCUCGGCUCUGCUUCGGAUUUGGAAAUCACAAACGUAUGCUUUCCAACGGAAAAGAAGCCUGACUGAUAAACUUUGAGGACUGACAACAUAUGUGUCCACCCCUGCCUCUGACAGGCAUCCAGUGAUGUUACCCAAUUCCAGAAGAAACUAGAAUAACCGUC